rnacentral:rRNA from 1 species
UGGGGAAUUGUUCGCAAUGGGCGCAAGCCUGACGACGCAACGCCGCGUGGAGGAUGAAGAAUUUCGGUUCGUAAACUCCUUUCGACCGAGAUGAACACCCCGCAAUUUAAUACGUUGUGGGACUGACAGUAUCGAGAGAAGAAGCCCCGGCUAACUCCGUGCCAGCAGCCGCGGUAAUACGUAGGGCGCGAGCGUUGUCCGGAAUUAUUGGGCGUAAAGAGCUCGUAGGCGGUCUGUCGCGUCGGAUGUGAAAGCCCGGGGCUUAACCCCGGGUCUGCAUUCGAUACGGGCAGACUAGAGUGUGGUAGGGGAGAUCGGAAUUCCUGGUGUAGCGGUGAAAUGCGCAGAUAUCAGGAGGAACACCGGUGGCGAAGGCGGAUCUCUGGGCCAUUACUGACGCUGAGGAGCGAAAGCGUGGGGAGCGAA